AGAAAUGUGGUGAAACGGUAAACACAAUGGACUUAUAUAAAAAGCACAACUAAAAGAAAAUUUUAAUAAUAAGAAUUAUUUUUCUGAAAUUUUAAAAUAAAAUUCAAACGACUUUAAUUAAAAUUAUAAAAACUAAAAUAAAGAAAAAGUCUAAUAAUUUUCAAAAAUAAAUAUAUUUUUUAAAAACAAUAUUAAAACUAGAAAAUCCAUUUAUUUUAUAAAUAAUAAGGGUUCGAUUCCCUUCAUUUCUA